rnacentral:rRNA from 1 species
AAGCAGCCAUCAUUUAAAGAGUGCGUAAUAGCUCACUAGUCGAGUGACACUGCGCCGAAAAUGUACCGGGGCUAAACAUAUUACCGAAGCUGUGGAUUGUCCUUUGGACAAUGGUAGGAGAGCGUUCUAAGGGCGUUGAAGCAUGAUCGUAAGGACAUGUGGAGCGCUUAGAAGUGAGAAUGCCGGUGUGAGUAGCGAAAGACGGGUGAGAAUCCCGUCCACCGAUUGACUAAGGUUUCCAGAGGAAGGCUCGUCCGCUCUGGGUUAGUCGGGUCCUAAGCUGAGGCCGACAGGCGUAGGCGAUGGAUAACAGGUUGAUAUUCCUGUACCACCUAUAAUCGUUUUAAUCGAUGGGGGGACGCAGUAGGAUAGGCGAAGCGUGCGAUUGGAUUGCACGUCUAAGCAGUAAGGCUGAGUAUUAGGCAAAUCCGGUACUCGUUAAGGCUGAGCUGUGAUGGGGAGAAGACAUUGUGUCUUCGAGUCGUUGAUUUCACACUGCCGAGAAAAGCCUCUAGAUAGAAAAUAGGUGCCCGUACCGCAAACCGACACAGGUAGUCAAGAUGAGAAUUCUAAGGUGAGCGAGCGAACUCUCGUUAAGGAACUCGGCAAAAUGACCCCGUAACUUCGGGAGAAGGGGUGCUCUUUAGGGUUAACGCCCAGAAGAGCCGCAGUGAAUAGGCCCAAGCGACUGUUUAUCAAAAACACAGGUCUCUGCUAAACCGUAAGGUGAUGUAUAGGGGCUGACGCCUGCCCGGUGCUGGAAGGUUAAGAGGAGUGGUUAGCUUCUGCGAAGCUACGAAUCGAAGCCCCAGUAAACGGCGGCCGUAACUAUAACGGUCCUAAGGUAGCGAAAUUCCUUGUCGGGUAAGUUCCGACCCGCACGAAAGGCGUAACGAUUUGGGCACUGUCUCAACGAGAGACUCGGUGAAAUCAUAGUACCUGUGAAGAUGCAGGUUACCCGCGACAGGACGGAAAGACCCCGUGGAGCUUUACUGUAGCCUGAUAUUGAAAUUCGGCACAGCUUGUACAGGAUAGGUAGGAGCCUUUGAAACGUGAGCGCUAGCUUACGUGGAGGCGCUGGUGGG